AGAGUUUGAUCCUGGCUCAGAUUGAACGCUGGCGGCGUGCUUAACACAUGCAAGUCGUGCGAGAAAGGGGACUUCGGUCCCUGAGUAGAGCGGCGCACGGGUGAGUAACGCGUGGAUAAUCUCCCCAGAAGUUCGGGAUAACGGCGGGAAACUGCCGCUAAUACCGGAUACGCUCCAAUUUCGGUUGGGGGAAAGGCGGCCUCUGUUUACAAGCUGUCGCUUCUGGAUGAGUCCGCGUCCCAUUAGCUUGUUGGUGGGGUAAUGGCCUACCAAGGCUACGAUGGGUAGCUGGUCUGAGAGGAUGAUCAGCCACACUGGAACUGAAACACGGUCCAGACUCCUACGGGAGGCAGCAGUGGGGAAUAUUGCGCAAUGGGGGAAACCCUGACGCAGCG
rnacentral:rRNA from 1 species